rnacentral:misc_RNA from 1 species
AUGCCAACCACAAAGAAUUCGGCCACGUUCAUGACUCAACCAAAGAAAAAUCAAGAGAAACAGAUGCAAUCAAAUGUAAAAAAUGGCGGCUGCACCUAGAGGCAUGAUACAAAAUCAGUUGGACCGAAACUAAAUUGUACAAUGAAAAAACAAAAAAGAGAUUUUUUAAGUUUAUGGAGGCUAUGCUUGGUCAGGGAUCUUCAAUCCAAGCAUACUUUGAGAGAAACUAGUUUCUAUAUCAUCACCCACACCAUGACCAUAUGCUUCCAGAGUCACGUCUCUGUAGCAAAAUUUCAAUCUCAAUUAUGUGUGAAGCCAAAAACCCUCGCAAAGAAUGCAAGCCACUUGUGGCAAAUCCAUGUUUAAGAAGAAAAGGCUGACACGGAAAAUUAAGGUUUUAAAACACUAAUACCAAUUUGGUCAUGCUUAUUUUGAAGGGCUGUGUGGUUUGGCUGCUCUAUGAUAGCUAUAUUCCCCACUCCAGCUUCCAUAGCUUCUCUCUCAUCCCUUUCCCUCUUGUUUUCAGACAUGUUCCCAUCAAUUGCAUGCAGUUGAACAGGAGGCAUGGAAGGUUCAAGCAGACGAGGGCCAGCAGCAAUCCAUGGGUGACUGAGGCAUUGAGCCGCUGUUGGCCUCUUUUCAGGCACAAAAUCAAGUAGGGGAAUAAGGAAGUUGGCCAUGUCAUUUGCCUCCUGCUCACUGAAAUCAUACUUCUCCAUAAGCACCUUACUAACAGGCCAGAAACGCAACCGACGGAUGUGCCUCAGAUCUCCAUAUCUAUUGAAGAAAUCCCGAGAAUAGCGACCACCUAAUGCAAUCUUACGCGGCAUCAUGCCAACAAGCUCCAUCAUCAAUGCCAAGUGAUCCUCAUCCCUAUCGUAAUUGUCGCCACUGUGAGGAUCAAAAAGGACAUCACCAGUGGCCAGCUCAAAGCAAAUACAAGCAAAGGACCAGAGAUCUGCUGGAGUUGAGUAUUUAGAUCCAAGAAUAACCUCUGGACACCUAUAUUGCCUAGUCUGGAUAUCACUUGUAAAUUGUUUGUACGUCCAACAAGCAUUUCCAAAAUCAACCAAUUUGCACUUUAAGUCAACUGCAGCCAAUAGCUNUAGCUUUUGCUUUGUGGAACGACUGCCUCUUCUAUGAGCAAGUUUUUCUUGACAAACACCCUUGUUUUCCUCAUGCUUUCUUGAUUCAUCUUUAGCCACCGAAGUAUUUGGUUCAUUGUGAGAGCCUUCAUUAGAUUUUGUAUCAGUAUUAGAAUCUUCAUGGCCAAGUACUUCAGUAUCUGCACUGUUUUCCUCAUAAACUUCUUUCCCCACGCUACUCUGAGCUGCCUUCUUAGCUUUCUUUCGAAUUUUCUUUUUCUGAUUUUUAGUUAGGUCCCCAUUUAAAAUCUGACUAUACUUUGAAGCAGGAGACUCAGCAACAAUUUUAUUCUUGCUGGUUGGGAGGAUGAGAGGAGUGUCUGAUUUACGAGGAUCUUUAGAUGGAUCAAUCAUUGACAAAAGCAAGAUAUUCUCCGGCUUUAAAUCAGUGUGAAUAAUUGAAAGCUGGCGAUGCAAGUAAUCUAAACCCACCAAAAUAUGAAAACAUAUUUCUUUAACCAUGCCUAAAGGAACCCCUCUAUAAUCACUAUACUUAAUAAGGGUCAACAGAUUAUCUCCCAAGAACUCAAAAACCAUACAUACAUGAUGUCCAUUAGGUCCUGAAUGCUUAAAAUGAUCCAAUAGCUUUACAACACAUUUUUCAUCAUCUGGGUCUCCCUCAGCAAUCUGUUUGAGGAUCUUUAUCUCAUCCAUUGCUGCUUCAGUGUAGUGUUGGGCACUCUUUUGAACUUUCAAAGCUACAUUACGCGAUCCCUGGGUAUCCCAUGCGAGCCAGACAGUAGAGAAAUGGCCCCAACCAAGCUUGCUCUGCACCACAUAGCGCCCAUUCUUGAACUUAUCCCCAAUUUGCACCGCAUGGUAACCUCCUCUCCUGUAAUCUUCCGUUCCCUCGUCCUCGGACGUGUAAUCGCUCGCCUCACUGCGGGCACCAUUCCUAUCCUCCGCCAUUGAAGAACAAAAAUGAUCGAAAAUUUUCACCAAAUGAGGUAAUCAAACUUUAUGAGCGUUUCUUGACCAAGAAUGAGAAACCCAGAGGUGGGUUUUUUGUAAACAAGAAAGCAAUGGCAAGAUGGACAAACCGGGUAAUGAAAAUGAAAAUGAAAAUUCUGACGAGUGGAUAGACAAAUGAACUAAAUUUUUAUUCAAUUUGGG